GAGAAUAGUAACGCUCAAGCUCUCCUGUGUCUACCUCUGCUCUCACCAAACGGGGAAAUAACAGGUGUACUGCAGUUGUCCAAAAGUUAUGGAAGUGCUCCUUUCACAGAAGAUGGAUUGGCGAUUGCAACAACAUACAUGCUAUGGGCAGGGAUAGCACUCAACAAAGUUCAGGUAAACAGCU